GACGAACGCUGGCGGCGUGCCUAAUACAUGCAAGUAGAACGCUGAAGGAGGAGCUUGCUUCUCUGGAUGAGUUGCGAACGGGUGAGUAACGCGUAGGUAACCUGCCUGGUAGCGGGGGAUAACUAUUGGAAACGAUAGCUAAUACCGCAUAAUAGUAGAUGUUGCAUGACAUUUGCUUAAAAGGUGCAAUUGCAUCACUACCAGAUGGACCUGCGUUGUAUUAGCUAGUUGGUGAGGUAACGGCUCACCAAGGCGACGAUACAUAGCCGACCUGAGAGGGGGGUCGGCCACACUGGGACUGGGACCCGGCCCCGACUCCUACGGGAGGCAGCAGUAGGGGAUCUUCGGCAAUGGACGGAAGUCUUACCGCGCAACGCCGCGUGAGUGAAGAAGGUUUUCGGGUCGUAAAGCUCUGUUGUUAGGGAAGAACGAGUGUGAGGGUGGAAAGUUCACACUGUGACGGUAUCUUACCAGAAAGCGACGGCUAACUACGUG
rnacentral:rRNA from 1 species